UUGGAAGUGGAAAAAAAUGUGUGUUAGUGAUUUUUAGAGUGUUGGAUGGAUCAAAGAGCCAAUGUUUUUAAAACUUUAACAAAGGAUGACCAUAAAAACAACAAAAUAUUCUUUGUGAUAAACACUUAUUGUUUGGAAGAACAUUUCUUAAAGGGAGUUUAGUGAACGUUAUAAGUUGUUGAUGGGGUUUAAAAUGAAUGAGUAGUGGUUACAACAAGCACCAUAAGUUCUUCUGCAUAAUUUGUGGCAGAU
rnacentral:lncRNA from 1 species